rnacentral:rRNA from 1 species
GACAGAGGCCUCGAGCGUUAGGCGGAAUCACUGGGCGUAAAGGGUGUGUAGGUGGCGCGCUAAGUCGGGUGUGAAAUUUCGGAGCUUAACUCCGAAACUGCAUUCGAUACUGGCGUGCUUGAGGACUGGAGAGGAGACUGGAAUUUACGGUGUAGCAGUGAAAUGCGUAGAUAUCGUAAGGAAGACCAGUGGCGAAGGCGGGUCUCUGGACAGUUCCUGACACUGAGGCACGAAGGCCAGGGGAGCAAACGGG